rnacentral:rRNA from 1 species
UACGAAGGGUGCAAACGUUGCUCGGAAUUAUUGGGCGUAAAGCGCACGUAGGCGGUUUGUUAAGUCGGAUGUGAAAUCCCUCGGCUCAACUGAGGAAGUGCAUCCGAAACUGGCAAGCUUGAGUACGAAAGAGGAUCGCGGAAUUCCCGGUGUAGAGGUGAAAUUCGUAGAUAUCGGGAGGAACACCGGUGGCGAAGGCGGCGAUCUGGGUCGAUACUGACGCUGAGGUGCGAAAGCGUGGGGAGCAAACAGG